GAUGAACGCUAGCGACAGGCCUAACACAUGCAAGUCGAGGGGCAGCACAAGGGUAGCAAUACUCUGGUGGCGACCGGCGCACGGGUGAGUAUCGCGUAUGCAACCUACCUACCACAGGGGGAUAGCCUUCCGAAAGGGAGAUUAAUACCGCAUGAAACAGGGGUCCCGCAUGGGGAUAUUUGUUAAAGAUUUAUCGGUGGUAGAUGGGCAUGCGUUCCAUUAGCUAGUUGGCGGGGUAACGGCCCACCAAGGCGACGAUGGAUAGGGGAACUGAGAGGUUUAUCCCCCACACUGGGACUGAGACACGGCCCAGACUCCUACGGGAGGCAGCAGUGAGGAAUAUUGGUCAAUGGGCGGGAGCCUGAACCAGCCAAGUCGCGUGGAGGACGACGGUUCUAUGGAUUGUAAACUCCUUUUGCACUGGGGUAAAACGGGGGACGUGUCCCCCCUUGCAAGUACAGUGCGAAUAAGCAUCGGCUAACUCCGUGCCAGCAGCCGCGGUAAUAC
rnacentral:rRNA from 1 species